GGGGAUUCGAGUCUUGCCACGGAGCUACCGGAAGAGCCCGAGGAAAAUCCUAGCCCUGUUGUGGAUGAGAAUAAUAUAGUAUCAGCCAAAAAACAGGGACCGAGCACACAUAAUUGGAGCGGUGACUGGAGCUUUUGGAUCUCGAGCUCCACCUACAAAGACAGGAAUGAGGAAUACAGGCAUCAGUUUACACACCUGCCCGACUCAGAGAAACUGAUAGCAGAUUACGCCUGUGCUCUCCAGAAGGAUAUCUUGCUUCAGGGGCGGCUGUACCUUUCAGAAAACUGGCUGUGUUUCUAUAGCAACAUCUUCAGAUGGGAA